rnacentral:ncRNA from 1 species
AGGCGGUAUUCUUGGAAGCUGCACUAGAAAUUGUGUUAAAUUCUAAUAUAGAUUUUAGAAUGCACACUCUGCUCAGAGCCUAAAGGACCGAGACAGAAGG